CGGCGCCGGGGGUGGCGAGGGCCGGGCGACCGCUCGCUCCGCGCUGCCUCGGUGCAGGGCGAGCGGAGGGGCUUUGCAGCGGCCGCCGCCGCGGGAGGAGGGGGUUGAGCUGGCUCCGGAGUUGGCCAAAGAAGCUAGCCCUCGAAGGCACGAGCAGCCGGCGCCUUCGGCAGAGGAGGAGGAGGAGGGAUCGCGUCGGGCGGAGCUUCAGGUCCUGUUCGCCUCUCCGGCUUCUCCAUACAAAGAUUACGGUGCAGAAGGAAAUUGCACUCGCCUCCUCCGCCCCCCGGUACCCAGCACAAUGCACCAGCCGCCAGAGUCCACCGCCGCGGCGGCCGCUGCUGCAGACAUUAGUGCUAGGAAGAUGGCGCACCCGGCAAUGUUCCCUCGAAGGGGCAGCGGUGGUGGCAGCGCCUCUGCUCUCAGUGCAGCAGGUACCGGCGUCAGUGGUGCUGCUCCAUCUUCUGAAGAUUUUCCUCCUCCUUCUUCGCUGCUCCAGCCGCCGCCUCCUGCUGCAUCUUCCACACAGGGACCACAGCCUCCGCCUCCACAAAGCCUGAACCUCCUUUCACAGGCUCAGCUGCAGGGACAGCCUCUUGCGCCAGGCGGAACUCAGAUGAAAAAGAAAAGUGGCUUCCAGAUAACUAGCGUUACUCCGGCUCAGAUCUCUGCCAGCAUCAGCUCGAACAACAGCAUAGCAGAGGACACCGAGAGCUAUGAUGACCUGGAUGAGUCGCACACGGAAGAUCUCUCUUCUUCCGAGAUCCUUGAUGUCUCCCUUUCCAGGGCCACUGACUUAGGUGAGCCUGAACGCAGUUCCUCCGAGGAGACUCUGAAUAACUUCCAGGAAGCUGAGACACCUGGGGCAGUCUCUCCUAACCAGCCCCACCUUCCUCAGCCUCAUUUGCCUCACCUUCCACAACAGAACGUUGUGAUCAAUGGGAACGCUCAUCCACACCACCUCCAUCACCACCAUCACAUUCAUCAUGGGCACCACCUUCACCACGGACACCACCAUUCAUCACAUGCUGCUGUGGCCAGUACAUCCGUUCCUGGAGGGCCACCACCCACGAGCCCCGUGUCCAGGAAACUCUCUACAGCUGGAAGUUCUGACGGUGGUGUGCCAGUCCCACCUACUUCUGCUGUAUCAUCGGCUGGCUUACCUGCCUCAGUGAUGACGAGCAUCCGUGCUCCAAGCACUCCAGGCAGCAUAGGUGUAAAUUCAGUUACCGGCACGAAUGCAACGAAUAAUGUUAACAUUGCUGCUGUGGGUGGUUUCAGUCCCGGUGUGGCGAACAGCGUGCAUCCCAAUGCUGUUAGUAUAAGUGGUGGGCCUGGAGUUACCAGCGGUGUUAAUGUGAAUGUCUUGAGUGGCAUGGGCAACGGUACCAUUUCUUCUCCUGUCCUUAACGCAGCUGCAGGUAUCACGGUGGGAGUGGUUUCAAGUCAGCAGCAGCAGCCGCAGCAGCCGCCGCCAACAGUUAACACAUCAAGGUUCAGAGUUGUGAAGUUAGACUCUACUUCUGAACCCUUUAAAAAAGGCAGAUGGACUUGCACUGAAUUCUAUGAGAGAGAAAAUGCUGUGCCAGGUCCAGAAGGCGUGGCCAUAAAUAAAGUGGUGGAGACCGUGAAGCAAACCCCCACGGAAGCGUCCUCUUCGGAGAGGGAGAGCACUAGUGGGAGUUCCGUGAGCAGUAGUGUCAGCACACUGAGUCACUACACAGAGAGUGUGGGAAGCGGAGAGAUGGGAGCCCCUACUGUGGUGGUGCAGCAGCAGCAGCCGCUACCACCAGCACCACCAGGUCUUCAAGGCGUGGCCCUCCAACAGCUAGAUUUCAGUAGCCCUGGUCCACAGAGUAUUUCUCAGUCACAGAUGUCACAGGUACAACUACAGCCUCAAGAAUUGAGCUUUCAGCAGAAGCCAAAUCUUCAACCUGUUCCUCUGCAAGCCACUAUGAGCGCAGCAACUGGUAUCCAGCCUUCACCUGUCAACGUGGUGGGUGUAACGUCAGCUGUAGGUCAACAGCCUUCCAUUUCCAGUCUGGCUCAGCCCCAGCUGCCGUAUCCUCAGCCAGCUCCUCCCGUGCAAACUCCUCUUCCAGGGGCACCACCCCAGCAGUUACAAUAUGGGCAACAGCAACCAAUGGUUCCUACGCAGAUAGCCCCAGGCCAUGGCCAGCCAGCAACUCAAAACCCUCCUUCAGAGUACGCACAGCAGCAGCCAAUAUUCCAAGCGGCAAUGUCCUCUGGACAGUCCAGUUCCACAGGCACAGGAGCGUCAGUGAUUCCCGUGGCUCAGCCACAAGGGAUCCAGCUGCCAGUGCAGCCCACAGCAGUACAAGCACAACCUGCAGGGGCGACUGGGCAGCCCAUUGGCCAGGCUCCAACAGCAGUGUCUACUGUACCAGCUGGUGGUCAGAUUGCAAGUAUCGGUCAGCAGGCAAACAUACCCACUGCAGUACAGCCACCCUCUACCCAAGUUACACCUUCAGUUGUUCAGCAAGGUGCUCCUCCAUCUUCACAAGUAGUCCUACCUGCUCCAACUGGGAUCAUUCAUCAGGGCGUUCAAACCAGUGCUCCAAGCCUUCCUCAGCAAUUGGUUAUUGCACCCCAGAGUACCAUGGUAGCGGUGCCUCCCCAGACACAGGGAGUGGAAGCAGUGGCUCAUGGAGUUGUUUCCCACCAGUUGCCCACAGGUAGUCCUUUGCCCUCUGCUAGCACCAUUUCUGUUACAAGUCAGGUUAGUUCAGCUGGUCCUUCUGGAAUGUCUUCUGUCCCAACAAACUUAGUUCCACCACAGAAUAUAGCACAACCCCCAGCCACCCAAAAUGGCAGUUUGGUUCAAAGUGUUAGUCAAUCUCCAUUGAUAGCCACUAACAUAAAUUUGCCUUUGGCACAACAGAUACCGCUAAGUUCUACUCAGUUCUCUACACAAUCAUUAGCUCAGGCAAUUGGAAGCCAAAUGGAAGACACCAGGCGUCCAGCGGAGCCCUCCUCAGGCGGCUUACCUCAGACUCUCAGUGGUGACAGUGGGGGAGUGUCAGCAGUCUCAGAUGGGAGUAGCAGCAGCCUAGCAGCCUCUGCUUCUCUCUUCCCGUUGAAGGUGCUACCGCUGACAACACCCCUGGUGGAUGGCGAGGACGAGAGAUAAAAUGGACCUGCCUGUUGGUUGCCGGUGUGGUGCUCCAGGAGUUUCUCCCAACAGUUAUGUCACUCUUGAAUAUUUAUAAGCCUUGUAAAAGAUGAUUCCUUUUACUGUCCACAGUACAGUCCUGUGGCUGCCUUGCUCCUCCCUCGGUCCCCAGACAAUUGCUGUAUUGGAAGGGGUGGGUCCCCCUCUCAGAAUUCCUUCCUCCUUCCUUCUCCUGGUCUCCCAAGUUGUGUGUGCCUUGGUCUCCACCUGGGCAGCGUCCUUCCUCGGCUCUCUGGUGGUUUCUUGCUUGUGUGCUUGCACUGUAGUCCAGAGGAUGGAGGACUACUUAGAACAUUUCACCAGGGUUGCUCUUAGUGUGGAACUUGGCUUGGGGCCCACGGCUGGAGUGCAUGGUCCCCAUUGAACCUUGUACUUCAUCUCUGCUUGUCACUAAUUGUCUAUCACCAGCCCCUCAGCCUCAGCCUUUCUCUAGGAAAGUCCAGGGUCGCGUAGGCUCGCUACUUACUGUUGCUCUUGGCUUCUCUCUCCUUCACUUCUCCUGUGGUAUAGCUUCAUUUUCACAGCCUGUGUUGACUUCAUUCUUGAUUGGCCUGCUGUUUUUAGAUGGUGUCAGCUUAUCCCACUUGAUGCCUUUGUUUAGGUAAAGGACACCAGGUUGUUCUCUUACAACUUUUUAUUGACAACACUUCCUGGCUUCCAUACUGCUUUUGAGAAUUCUAUAGCCAUUUUGGUUUCUUAAUGCCAUAUGUGGCCUGUCUUUGUUUUUCCUCUCUUUCAUUCUUCCCCUUCCUCUCUUCUCAUUUUAAAAACAUCUAUGAAAGCUUUUAAAGUUUGUUUCCAGUGUUAUGAAUUUUACACGGAUGGCAUGUGUGUGGUAGGGGAGCGUGAUUCUGCUUUUUUUUUUUUAUUGUGUGCUAUUUAACCUGCAAACUUUGGGGUACUGAGUUUGAAUCCAGGGCUUCAGACUUGGCAAAGGAUCUGCCAAUGAACCACAUUCCAGAAUUUUUCCUCAAAUUUAUUUGUAUGAUGGGCCUUCCUGGCUGAUCUUCUAAUUUCCUUGGUUUCUACUGAGUUUCUCUUACAUUUAAUUUCCAAGAGCCUUUUUUUGGUUGCAGAUCUUUGCCUUUUUAAAAAACUGUAUAUUGCUCCAGUUUAAUUUAACAGAGCUUUCUCUUAGCUCUGUGCACACGUUAGAUUUGAUUUAUCACACAGGGUUUCUCUGUGUAGUUCAGGCCUUGAACUUGGCAUUCUCCAGCCCUGCCCCUCCAGUGUGUCAUCAUGCCUAGCUCUUUAAAAGUUUUCUUUCUGUGGGGUCUGCUUUUCCCAGGUUUCAUUUUCUCUCUUACCUUGGUCUGUGUCUUUCAUUUCAAUAGAACCUUUAGGUAGUUGGCAGUUGUGUGUAAGAGUAAGCAGUGUUGGUUACAGAUUCUCAACAAAGUUUGUCGACCAUCAGCUCCACUAGUCUAGAGUAGACUAGAUGGUAACCUGACUGGGCUGUUCCACUGGGGGUCCUGACAUCUUUGUACCUCCCCUUAGUUGAUUAACUCCUGAUCUGUCCACAAGGGCUGCAGGGAGGGGGGGGCGUAGAGGAAUGAAAAGUCUUGGAUCCCCAGCUCACAUCUUCAUUCAGCCGAGUUCCACUCCCCGCCUUGCCUUCUGCUGUGUGCUUCGCUCCCUCAGUCUGUGCUUUGCAAGCGCCCCCCCUUGGUCUGCAGACUUGGCUGUUGGGUAAGAAGCAGUGCCUGUGCUGCUGCCAGUUCCAGGGCCUUUGGGGCUUUUUGAAGUUUCGGUUGGAUUUGUUUCUGGCUUUGUUUGCUGAAUCUGAUUGUUUUUUCUGUUUGUGAAGUCAGUUGUCACUCAACCGUCUGCUUCCUAGCAUCCAGAUUUGUUUUACUGCUGUCUUUUCAUGGCCUGUUGUUUUUUUUUUUUUUUUUUUUGUUUUAAAUAGGCUUACGUUUCUAUACCUUUCCUUUUAUUUAUUUGAGAUAGGGCCUCAAAAAUUCACUUUAAAAGCAAAAGAAUAUAUAUGAUUUCUUAUCUAGAAAUUUAAAACUUGAAACUGAAAAAAACCUGGCUUGGAGUCACAGUCAAAGCCUUGUCCCUUGGGUUUGGUUGCCACCAUGAAGGCCGGAUGGCAUGGCAGACUAUGCACUUCCUUGUUUCUUGUUCUUGCUUUUUGACAUGGCAUGCUCCUUAUAUAGCAGGGACUAGUCUCUUACAGCAGUUCUCUUGCCUCAGCCUUCCAGGUGCUGGGAUUCCUGAUAAGGCCUACCAUACACGGCUUCAGACAUCCCCUCAUGACUCAUUCAAAGGAAGGUACAGGAGAAGAAAAAGUAACCCAUCUUCACUUAUAUUGUAAAUGGAGGGUUGUGGUCUCACAGACAGAAAUGCCUUUUUUUCCCCACCAUUUCUUCAUCCUGACCAGAAAGUCACCUCUGCUGCCUUCUGCCACCUGACCGCACUCCCUCCUGCAGCACUCCAGCUGACCAAGACACCCUUCUUUGUUUUUUGUUGUUUUGUUUUGUUUCCCACUUUCUCGCCAUCCUGUGUUGGUCUCUUUGAGAUCAUUCUCUGCCAAACGGUCAGUGUCAGCUUCCCCAGCCUUGGAUUCUCACAGGCUGCUCCCAGUCUGUUGUCUUGCUUAGGUAAGGUAGUACUGACUGGCCCCAAACUUGAGGCAGCCAUCCUGCUGUAGCCUCCCUGGUGCUGGGCUCACAGGCAUGAGCCUGUGCCUGCAGAUCUCCUCUGUCUUCCCAGGCCGUCAACCUAACGCUGCUGUUUAGGCCUUCUAGUUGUUCUGUUAUGGGGAAUCUCCGUCUUACUUUAGACACCUAGAUUACAUUCCUCAUGUCUUUCCUCACCCGCUCCUUCCUGAACGGAACAUCCAUCCUUACUUUUCUUCCGUCUCUUCCCUGCUGGCACAGUUCCAGUCCAAGAGAAAACAGCCUUCACUUAAAAGAGGUGCUGCCUGUGGUAGCUUUCUCACUGAGCGACCCGCACACAUCCUGCCUUUCUCUGCUACUGCGCUGCAGUCUGAAUGAUGCUUUUAAUGUGGAAGUCGUAUGUAAUUCACUUGCCUAGAUCCCCUUAGUAAAGCCUUCCCCUCUGGUGUAAGGUAAUUCCUUCUGUUUUUGCCUGCUCCUGGCCUCCUAUCAGGCUCCAUUUCCCCAGGAAAGGUUUAUUUUGGCUCCUGGUUUUAGAAGGUUCUGUCCUUGGUUGCUUGGCCUCGUGCGCCUGGUAGUGGGAGCAUGUGGCAAGGGCUCGCUGUUCUUGGCAGACAAGAAACAGAUAAAAGGGAAAGUAAACAUUCGCCUCUCUCAGUGCUGGGCUUGGAGCCUGUGGCCUUGUGCAUGCCAGGCAAGUGCUCUACCACUGAGCUCCACCCCUGCUUCCACUGCCCCUGCUUCAUUCCUUGUGACACUCGAUGACCUCUCAGGAACCUUCUGACCUGCCUCCCAUUCUCCUCUGGGCAUUUGAACAUAAACAUGACCAAGGUCACCUCCUCAACUCUUUCUUAAAGUUUAAUUUUUUUUUCUCUUUUGAGACAAGAUCUUGCUAUGUAGCCUAGGCCAACCUUGAAAUAGCUAUGUAGCCCAGAUGGCCUUGAAUUUGUGCUCUUCCUGCUUCGGCCUCCAGCGCCCUGGGGUUACAGGUAUGUACCACCGCACCUGGCUAAACCGUUCACUUUUGGGAGGGCCUCUGACAUACCGAUUUAAAUUGAGGUUGUUAAAACUAAUUAAAAGCACCUUGUUACUUUUGUUUGUAAUACCUGUUAUAAUUUAUUACUGUAUGUGAUUAUCUGAUAAAAUUUUAACCUCUGUGACAGGAAUGUUUGGAAUCUACCAGUAUCCAAAACUUAUUUCAGUGUUUACAGCGAUGGUGAGAGCCUGUUUCAUGAAGAAAAUCUACUCUUAAUCAUGGCAUAAGAACCGGGAAAUCAAAUGCAUCUUUUUUAGAGACUAGAAUUAAAUUCCUUAGAGGUUACCGUGACAUCAUCAGCUUUUGUCUUUGAUAUGAUUGAGACUUGCUUUACUUUUUGCUGCUUCUCAGUUGACUAUUCUUUUUCUAAACAAGCACUGUGUUUUGUUUAUUUUGUAUUCUUUAAAACUGUUAAAAAAUCUUUAACUUGAAUGAAACAACAACAAAAAAAACCCCUCCAUUUAUUUGGUAAUUUGAAUAAUCAGUAUUUUUCCUACUUUUGACUGGCAUAGCUAUUUUCCAUUAAAUGGUUCUAAAAUAUCUAGGUAUUAUCUUGGGACUCCUUUGCAAUCAGCUGUUCAAAACAGGCUUUGAGCUUGUAGAAUGCCACUUGCUUCUGUUGAGGGUUUUAUUUGUUUCCUUCUAACCAGUUAGUAAAUGUUGUUUACAGUUUCUGUGAUGUUUUACUCGUGGUCAUUGUUAGAUGCCUGUUAUGCAGAAGAGGAAAGUAGGGUUCUUCAGAUGGAGAAGAACCAUAGCAGGGCUGCAGUGGUCAGAAGUAACAGUCAGCUUUAAAGACUGUCUGUGUGUGUCGAGAAGCAUUGGGAGGCAGAUGAGACCUCUGUUCUGAAGGGUAGGACACUGAUGGUGGUAAUACUAAGAGCAGCAACACCCCCACCAGCAGGAGGGGAAAUGAUGCACUGCACUGAUCGCCAGAGGCUAGUUUGAAACCUAGUGAAAGAGUCUCCCUCCAUCACCGUGAACUUGUCAGAUGUUCAGCCUGGUUGCCUGUCAGAGAACCAUUUUGUGUUGACUGGGGAGACUAACUGUGACCUGGUUUCAUAAAGGAUCAGUGUUAGGUCAUGGUGCAUGGUGUGGCUUUGCUCAUCCUGGGAGCCACAGAGCAACUGUGCACUUUCUGUAGUUAAGACAGAUGAAGUAAUGGCUUACUCUUCCAGGGCCCUCACAUUUUCUUAGUAACACCUAACUACCCAGUUUGGGGGAUUCUUGAUAGCCCAUUUACAUUUCUGAGUAUUAUUUGACUUUCAAAUUCAGAAUUGUUUGUUGAUAAAAACAAUUUUCUCAUAGCUCAUUCUGGUUAUUUAGUUAUUACCUUUUUUUGUUUUUUUGUCUUUAGGCCUUCAUAGUGUGUGUGUACAAAUGUAUAUUGACUAAUUAGGAAUGCUUUGAAAGGACACACAUACAGUUGAAAUGACACCAGUUAAAAUUGCCACGUGGUUAUGGUGUAUCUCAGUAGCAGUAGUAAUAAGAUUACUUUCAUGUAAUUUUUAAUUUGUUUUUAGCUUAGCACUUAGACAAUGACCUCUUGGGGGUCUGUCCUGCCUUGGAGUUGAUAGUUUCUGCCAUGUGUUGUGUGCUGCUCAGACUCUAAUAACACCAGUGGUGGCUUUGAAGUAGAGUUGUAGAGAACCAAUUCUACUGUCCGAGUUGUCUGAGCACAGAGGUGUUACUUAAUCCUCAGGACAUCUUUUUGGCUUCAUAUUUAUCCUCAUUUUACAGGUGAGGAAACUGAGAAUAGAGAAAGAAGCCUUUUAUUCAGGGUCACCUGCCUGUAUAGUGGAAUCUGAGAUUUGUGUAUGGAAUUCUGGUUUCAGGGUUUGGACUUUGACUUUCUUCUCAUGGCUGCAGCAAAAUAACUGACAGGAAACAGUGGGUGGGUGUUGGGAUGGAUAUGAAUGCUGCUGCUCAGCUCACUCUCCCAUUUCCAGUCACCAGGACCCCCACCUAUGGAACGGUAACCUCCACAUUUAGUUCAUUGUAGAGAUUUCUUCAUGCCUAAAGAUUUCAUUUUGUGGCCCUUCUAAAUCUCAAGUCGAAAUAUCACACUUUAGCAGCAUGUGAUCAGAACCAGUUAUCUGCGUUCUCAAGUUAAAGUAUGUUGGGAGGCACUGAGACACUGCAUUUUCUGCUACCACAGUAGAAUUAUUAAUAAAAACAUUGUGAUAUAAUAGAGGGCCUCUUUGAUUUUGUUUUGUAUUUUGAUUUGGCGUGUUGGAAAGGGUGGCUGUUUCAGGGUAUUUUUGAAGAAAGGAGGACUCUAGUUAACUUUGUUUUGUAAGGAAGUUCUAUGUUUGACCUCAGGCUCAUCUUUUUGAUUGGUCUCUUUAGAUAACUGUUGUAUUUGUGACAGUUAUACAGUUUCUUUUGUUGAAUAUAGUCCUGUUUUAAAAUUUACUUUAAAAAGAUAGACUUGAGUUUGCCAUAAAAAUAUGCCCCCAACUGAGCACUUGGCCCUGAGUACUUAUGUCUUUGGGCGUUCCUUCAGGUGUCCGGUCACAAAGGCAGUGAGCCUCGUGAGUGGCCACAGCGUCUGUUUUCUGUGAGGAACCCAGUGAUAUGUCCGCAGCUCUCCUCUAGCAUGCUCAGUAGGGCUUCCCCUCACACUCGUCCUGCAUUGCUUUUGACUCCAGCAUGGGCAUGGCCGAUGUUGUAGGUAACUGUAGAAUCUGCAUGGUGGUCCAGCAUUUUCGUCAGCUCUGUUCCGCUCCCCUUUCUCUCCUGCAUACACCCCAGCUGCUGUCUUUACUGUUCUCUUCCUUCAUGGAAUUCCACACACGCUCCUGAGUUACUGUUUGAAGUUGGGUGUUCACAUUUGUUCACUGCUGGAAUCGCUAACACUUGGUUCCUAGCAAGCACUUCUUCGGGUUUUAAACUUCACAGAAGGGAGGAUGGAGAACAGGACUAUGGUUUUACGUCUAUCCUCAUGUCCUGUUGGAUUAAAGACUACUCCACACUCCAGUCCUUUUAGCUUCUUCUCUUGGCAGAUUUAUACAAUGGGGAUAAAUUUAUAAGGGCCUGUGGACCCCUGAGAGGAAGACAGUGAUGGCAUCCCUUUUGCUGUGGUUAGCAUUUCCAAGUUUAUUGCCUCGUAUUUUACUUGGAAUUGUGGGAGUCUAAUCACAAUUCAGAAGAAUAACAGGAGACACCUUUCUUUCUUUUUUUUUUUUUAAGACAGAUCUCACUGUGUAACCCUUAUUUGUCUUGGAACUUACUUACUGUGUAGCCUAGCCUGUCCUUAAUGUCACAGAGAUCUAUCUGCCUUGCCUCCCAAGUGCCAGGAUUAAAGGCAGAUGCCACCACGUCCAGUGAGCCAGUUUAAUGCUGUGAAUGAUCAGUAAAUGAAACUGGCAGCCGUCUGUUUUCAGUUCUAAGCUUACUUACGGUGUUUGCCUUAAGCUCAGCAUAACUUCCAUUACAAUAGUUUAAAAGCAGAAACCUCGUUCUAAUUAAUCGAGUUGUAAUAGCGUACUUAAUACUCAGGUCUUUCAUUCUGAGUUGUUGCAGCUUAUGCUUGUCAAUGAACUACAGAAGUGCUGCCUUAUAUGAGCGAUUAAUAAUGCAGUCUAAUAGUGGUGUUUACCGCUUUUGCCCCUGUCUGCUGGAAGGUAAACCCAUUCGUUGUUGGCAAGGUUUCGGUAGGUGUCUUACUGGAGAGUUGUUGCAGAAGUUAGUCACAUUCGUUCUUGUCCAUGAGUGAGCAUGGGAGCUGUUGAAGGUGAUGGCUGGGGUUUUCGGGGUGUGAUGGGUAUGGAUUGUGCCCUGUCUGCUCCCUAACUCCCGCUGUCACAGGUAGGAGGGAGCAGCUGCUGGUGAAAGCACCUCAGUUUACACCCACACGGGGGCUGCUCCUAGACCUGCCGUCUCCCCGGGCCAGGCCAGAAGUUGGAGGAGAGCAUCUUAAGGAGUUAAACUUGUGGAAGGUAAGGCUCAUUUUGGGAUUUUUCUUAGUUUCAAUUAUUUUUCUAGUUGUACUCAGAGUCUAAGCCCACGAGGCUUUACAAUGGCUUAUAAAUAGAUCUAAUAUGUAAAACCAAAAGCUUUUAAGAAUAGAGGCUGGUCUAACAGAGCCAAGCUGUACUGUAUUUGAGCUUUUGAAUAGGGAACUUAAAUCCCAUUAAUACUGAGUCUAAAUACUGUGAGUACUGAAUAACUGAGGUUUGAGUUAGAGAUUGAUCAAAUCACCAGGAAAUGAACAAAGAAAACCAGGACGGUGGUCAGCCAUUAGAGAGGGCGGUAAGGAAAGACGCAGUUGUCACAGUUGGUAAUUUUUGUGGAGCAACUUGGUACAACUUACUCUGCAGGGCUAUUCUCCAGUCGUUGCCUACAUUUGGAGGUCUACUCAUAGGAAGUUAAGAUGGCAGCAGCUAGUUUAGGGCCUUGUCUGUUAGUCCAGAGUGCUCUUCACAGUACUCCAUAGAGAUGUACUGUCUCAGAAACACCGAGUGCUUCAUACAGACUGAAAGAUGUAAAGGGAAAAGCCCAUGAGAUCUUCCCGUGUUUUAAGCAUCAUAGACCUUGAUGUCUUCCAGAUUAAGUAUGUGCUCGGUUGUUCCAUAUAUAGUGCACAUGACAGCUUUUGCAUUCAGAUAAUUGAUCAACAAGACUGUUCGUGCUUUCAGCAUAUGAUGAGGUAGAUUUUACUGAGCGUCACUUUUGGCAUCAGACCUGGUCUCUAGCCUAUUUCUUUUACCUCUUAACUGUAUGACUCUGAUAAGUGAGUUAAACUUUGUUAGUCCAGUUUCCUUACCUGAUCUGUGGAGUAGAACAUAACCCUGGUACUAUUUGGGAAGAUCAAAGGAGAUAGCUGUGUAAUACAUCGUGGCUGUGUUCAUGGUCGCUGUUCAUAUUGCGCCAAGUUAGAAGGUCCUCUGUAGCAUUGUGAGUUAAAGUAGAGAGCUUGCCUGCCAGGCUAAGACUUCUACAGAUGACAGCCUUCUCACAAGUCAUUCUGGGUCUCUGUGAUAUUUCGUACAGUCUGGGUCACCAGGGUUACACGAAAGAACUUGUCUAUACAGUGGCCUCUUUCUCAUUUCUACCAAGCAUGGUGUAUAUUGAGUGCCUUCAUUCUGUUAAAAACAAACCUACUCCAUUCAGUGAAGACACCAGGGGUUGGUUGUUUUUCUGAAUUCCACUCUGAGUAUCUGAUGAAUACGUGGGUUAAGUUCACAAAUGCAGAAGUAGUUACUAAAUACCUUUCCAUCUUUGUUUCUAAUGGGAGUGACGUGGACUGAGGGGAAGGACAGUGUCAUGUGGCAGAGCAGACUCAACUUCCAGAGGAAGGGAUCUGGAACUCUGUGAAGAUUGUUUUAGAUGGGCGCAGUGCCCCGAAGACCAUCUGUUCAAUUCUCAGCCCCAUAUGGGAUGGUAAACAUCUCAGAGAUGAAUGAGACUGAUCAAUCAGCUCUAUUUCAGUGCUUCUCUCCUACCAGAGGUGCAAGGAGUGAUCCUAGAGCCACAGAUACAGCCAAGACCACGGGGAGCUUUGACGUCAGGGCUCCACUUUCUCCACUGAACCCUUGGAGACAGAAUACCCAGCUUCUGGAGAGAGUGGGAAAGGAUAAUAAACAAGUGGGUGCUUUCCGUUACUUACUGGGGUUUAUCUGUAGAGUGGAGUGUCUUUCCAUUGCCCAUUUAUUCUGUUGGUGAUCCCCUUGGCUUCUUCCCAGAGCCAGGUGCGACUCUGUGUUUCCUGAGAGAACUGUCUAGUGCCCAUUCACAAAACAACCGCAAAUCUAUUUAAUUCUCUCCAGAUAAUUAAUGCAGUGGCUAAUCUGGGGCACACACAGUUUGUUCCAUGCCUGUGUAGUUCACAGGAAUUAAAGAAAGGCAGUCAUUUUCUGCAUGGGCCUUUAUUGUAACAGUGGACUUGAUAGAGUUCUUGUAGAGUCCGGAAAUUGAAGUUUCUGUGCUUCAUCUUUGAACUGGACACCUGAAAUCUCUAAACUUAUAUAGUUGAAUAUUCAGGUGUCACCCUGCCCUGUUAGUGAGGGUAUUUUGGUCUUUUUUCUACCUUAAGUGUUAGGCCUUCACACUCAGUCUCUUAGGAGAUGGAAUUUUAGGACUGUUGUGGCUUUACUGUCAAAUGUAGGCUUCAUUCUUUAAGACAAUAAAUAUGAACGAAUAUAAGUUUCAGAAGUUAAUGUCCCUGAAAGCUAUGUAAUCAAAAGUUUUCUAGUCCCUUGGAAUGUAACUUAUGCCAACACUGUAUUUUUUCCUAGGGCAUUAAGAUGGUUCUUUCUUAGUUUCUCUGAUGCCAGGGGUAGGGUGUGAGUCCAGGCAUUUCUUACCAUCUGCAGUGGGUAGAAUGUGAACUUGGUGCCUUGGCAAGUUUUCAUUGUUUCCUUGGUGGCUUCUUCUGUGACUCCAGGUAUCUUGAUAAUGGGAGACCGGUUUAUUUGUUCUCUAAUUGCCCAGAUUUCUUUCAACUGGUAAAACAUCAUACCUCUUCAGCAAAAGGAACUCCUCUAGCAGAGCCCUCAUGGAUGAUAUCUGUCACACAUGGCAGCACCUGCAGUUUGGAAGGCAGUGGUGAAUGGAUCCAUGCAAUAUGUCUAGAAGACACAAGGAUGAGCCAACCACCUGAUCUUGUUACUUACAAACUUUUAAGAUUUACUCUGGUUUACUUUUGGUCUGAAAAUGGAAAGGCUCAAGUAAUGAAGUAAUCUUUUCAUUUUGGAGUUUUACAUGGCCAUGAAAAUAUUUCUUAUUCUGAAGACUGAAAUAGAGGAAGCUUGAGAGUCUUGUCUUUCAAAGCAGCUCUCUGUAUCCGUUUCACUUAAAGAUUUGUGGAACUGAAAAUCAUUUUAAUCACAUAGGCAACCCCCACUUUAAAAAGUAGCGAAAAAAAUACAGAAAGCUUGAGGAACCCUUCCACCACCUCCUCCUUUGUCACCCAGUGCUAAAGGGGACAGCAAAUAAAGGGUGAGCUCGAGACUUAGUAUUAGGAUGUACUCUUGGCUCAUCUCUUGCUGGCCCCGAGCCUUAUUUUUGCUGUAAUUUAUCAAAUGAUGAAAGCUGUGGAGCUGUCUUCUGUGUUCCUAGGCAGUAAAUAAACGCCUGCUAGGGUUUACGCUGUACUGACGGCGUCCUGCCGCUGAGUGAUGGAGCAGAGGUGCCCGUCAGAAUGAACCUGUAGGUGUGAGUGGUCUUGAGGUACUUGUCCAAAUUACCAAUUGGCAGAGGCUGUCAAAAUGACAUUUCUUUCUUUGGUUAUCUAGUAACUGGCCAGUCAAAACUAUUGAAGAAAACCGUGACAGUCACCUGAUACUGCCAGUUCCUUUUAAGUUAGAGUAAGUUUUAAGAAGAGAAAUUGUAGAAUUAAUAAUAGGACUACUAAAAUGUUAGCCUCUCAAAAUUUAAGACUAUCAGCUAAGAGAUAAUCUACUUUUAGUCUUUGUUGGCUAUAAGAACUAUUUCUUAAUUAUAAAUCAUUUUUUAAAAGUAUAAUGCUUAAAAAGUAGAUAUUAAAGAUAAUUUUGAACUAAAAAAUUCCCCAUGGAACUCUGAAUUCCUGUAGAAUGAUUACAGCUUUGUAGUCCUGACUUAAUAAGAUAAUUCACAAGUGCAUAUAAACGAAAAACAAAUGAAUAUUUUAGAAGGAAUUCAGAACUGAAAGCAAGAUUUACAUAGAAAUCCUGUGGCAUUCUUUAAAGCACAGUACAACCCAUUUUAUGGCCUGAGUCCACUAGCCUUUUGUCUUGGCACUGAAGACAAAGUGAUUUAACCUUGGAAUCUCAAGCUUUAAUGAAUUUCAGCUCUGUCCCUUAAAGUCUGCAAACGAGAUGUAAGUUCAUAUCCACUCCCCAUCACUACAAGCUACUGCAAAGGGAAACUGUGUAUCACUGUGAACUGUUUUGUUUGGAUUUUAAUUUUGAUGCAUUUUCUUUUUAGAUUCUUAAAGAACAAUUUCGUGUCACAAUUUGCAAUCUAUAUCUUUCCAUGUUUAUUUUAUGAAUAUUAAUAUAAGUGAUUUUUCUCUAGAAUGAUAUAUUGUAUAAUAUUUGUAUUAUGUGAUCAUUUGAAAACUAAUAAAUAUUUUCUCCAUGAAAAAAA